rnacentral:rRNA from 1 species
AGUGAACGCUGGCGGUAGGCCUAACACAUGCAAGUCGAACGGCAGCACAGGAGAGCUUGCUCUCUGGGUGGCGAGUGGCGGACGGGUGAGGAAUACAUCGGAAUCUACUCUGUCGUGGGGGAUAACGUAGGGAAACUUACGCUAAUACCGCAUACGACCUACGGGUGAAAGCAGGGGAUCUUCGGACCUUGCGCGAUUGAAUGAGCCGAUGUCGGAUCAGCUAGUUGGCGGGGUAAAGGCCCACCAAGGCGACGAUCCGUAGCUGGUAUGAGCGCAUGAUCCGCCACACUGGAACGGAGACACGGUCCAGCCUCCUACGGGAGGCAGCAGUGGGGAAUAUUGGACAAUGGGCGCAAGCCUGAUCCAGCCAUACCGCGUGGGUGAAGAAGGCCUUCGGGUUGUAAAGCCCUUUUGUUGGGAAAGAAAUCCAGCUGGCUAAUACCCGGUUGGGAUGACGGUACCCAAAGAAUAAGCACCGGCUAACUUCGUGCCAGCCGCCGCCGUAA